GGUGUAGCGCAGUUGGUAGCGCGCCUGCUUUGGGAGCAGGAUGUCGGGGGUUCAAGUCCCUUCAC
rnacentral:tRNA from 2 species